rnacentral:rRNA from 1 species
ACGGCUACCUUGUUACGACUUCACCCUAAUCAUCUGUCCUACCUUAGACGGCUGACUCCUAUAAAGGUUAUCCCACCGGCUUUGGGUGUUACAGACUCUCAUGGUGUGACGGGCGGUGUGUACAAGGCCCGGGAACGUAUUCACCGCGGCGUGCUGAUCCGCGAUUACUAGCGAUUCCAGCUUCGUGUAGGCGAGUUGCAGCCUACAGUCCGAACUGAGAACGGCUUUAAGAGAUCCGCUUGCCUUCGCAGGUUCGCUUCUCGUUGUACCGUCCAUUGUAGCACGUGUGUAGCCCAGGUCAUAAGGGGCAUGAUGACUUGACGUCAUCCCCACCUUCCUCCGGUUUGUCACCGGCAGUCUCAUUAGAGUGCCCAACUUAAUGAUGGCAACUAAUGACAAGGGUUGCGCUCGUUGCGGGACUUAACCCAACAUCUCACGACACGAGCUGACGACAGCCAUGCACCACCUGUCUCAGCGUCCCCGAAGGGAACACCUAAUCUCUUAGGUUUGCACUGGAUGUCAAGACCUGGUAAGGUUCUUCGCGUUGCUUCGAAUUA